GACGAACGCUGGCGGCGUGCUUAACACAUGCAAGUCGAACGAGAAGAGAUGAGAAGCUUGCUUCUUAUUAAUUCGAGUGGCAAACGGGUGAGUAACGCGUAAGCAACCUGCCCUUCAGAUGGGGACAACAGCUGGAAACGGCUGCUAAUACCGAAUACGUUCUUUUGUCGCAUGGCAGAGGGAAGAAAGGGAGGCUCUUCGGAGCUUUCGCUGAAGGAGGGGCUUGCGUCUGAUUAGCUAGUUGGAGGGGUAACGGCCCACCAAGGCGACGAUCAGUAGCCGGUCUGAGAGGAUGAACGGCCACAUUGGGACUGAGACACGGCCCAGACUCCUACGGAGGCAGCAGUGGGGAAUCUUCCGCAAUGGACGAAGGUCUGACGGAGCAACGCCGCGUGAACGAUGACGG
rnacentral:rRNA from 1 species